rnacentral:rRNA from 1 species
GACGAACGCUGGCGGCGUGCCUAAUACAUGCAAGUCGAACGCUUCUUUCCUCCCGAGUGCUUGCACUAAAUUGGAAAGAGGAGUGGCGGACGGGUGAGUAACACGUGGGUAACCUACCCAUCAGAGGGGGAUAACACUUGGAAACAGGUGCUAAUACCGCAUAACAGUUUAUGCCGCAUGGCAUAAGAGUGAAAGGCGCUUUCGGGUGUCGCUGAUGGAUGGACCCGCGGUGCAUUAGCUAGUUGGUGAGGUAACGGCUCACCAAGGCCACGAUGCAUAGCCGACCUGAGAGGGUGAUCGGCCACACUGGGACUGAGACACGGCCCAGACUCCUACGGGAGGCAGCAGUAGGGAAUCUUCGGCAAUGGACGAAAGUCUGACCGAGCAACGCCGCGUGAGUGAAGAAGGUUUUCGGAUCGUAAAACUCUGUUGUUAGAGAAGAACAAGGACGUUAGUAACUGAACGUCCCCUGACGGUAUCUAACCAGAAAGCCACGGCUAACUACGUG